rnacentral:rRNA from 1 species
UACGAAGGGGGCUAGCGUUGCUCGGAAUCACUGGGCGUAAAGCGCACGUAGGCGGGUCGUUAAGUCGGGGGUGAAAUCCUGGAGCUCAACUCCAGAACUGCCUUCGAUACUGGCGACCUUGAGUCCGGGAGAGGUGAGUGGAACUCCGAGUGUAGAGGUGAAAUUCGUAGAUAUUCGCAAGAACACCAGUGGCGAAGGCGGCUGACUGGUCCGGUUCCGACGCUGAGGCGCGAAAGCGUGGGGAGCAAACAGG